rnacentral:rRNA from 1 species
AGUGAACGCUAGCGGUAGGCCUAACACAUGCAAGUCGAACGGCAGCACAGUAAGAGUUUGCUCUUACGGGUGGCGCGUGGCGGACGGGUGCGGAAUACAUCGGAAUCUACUUUUUCGUGGGGGCCAACGUAGGGAAACUUAUGCUAAUACCGCCUACGGCCUACGGGUGAAAGCAGGGGUAAUUCGGUCCUUGCGCGAGAGAAUGAUGCGAUGGCGGAUUGGCUGGUUGGCGGGGUAAAGGACCAACAAGGCGACCAUUCGUAGCUGGGCUGAGAGGAUGAUCAGACACACUGGCACAGAGGCACGGUCCAGACGCCUACGGUAGGCAGCAGUGGGGAAUAUAGGACAAUUGGCGCAAGCCUGAUCCAGCCAUACCGCGUGGGUGAAGAAGGCCUUCGGGUUGUAAAGCCCUUCUGUUGUGAAAGAAGAGCAGCAAGUUAAUACCCCGCUGUUCUGACGGUACCCAAAGAAUAAGCACCGGCUAACUUCGUG